rnacentral:rRNA from 1 species
GAGUUUGAUCCUGGCUCAGGACGAACGCUGGCGGCGCGCCUAACACAUGCAAGUCGAACGAGAGAGAGGGAGCUUGCUUCUUCAAUCGAGUGGCGAACGGGUGAGUAACGCGUGAGGAACCUGCCUCAAAGAGGGGGACAACAGUUGGAAACGACUGCUAAUACCGCAUAAGCCCACAGGUCGGCAUCGACCAGAGGGAAAAGGAGCAAUCCGCUUUGAGAUGGCCUCGCGUCCGAUUAGCUAGUUGGUGAGGUAAUGGCCCACCAAGGCAACGAUCGGUAGCCGGACUGAGAGGUUGAACGGCCACAUUGGGACUGAGGCACGGCCCAGACUCCUACGGGAGGCAGCAGUGGGGAAUAUUGCACAAUGGGGGAAACCCUGAUGCAGCGACGCCGCGUGGAGGAAGAAGGUCUUCGGAUUGUAAACCCCUGUUGUUGAGGAAGAUAAUGACGGUACUCAACAAGGAAGUGACGGCUAACUACGUGCCAGCCGCCGCGGUAAUAC